rnacentral:rRNA from 1 species
UCAUGCUUCAAAGCUCGUUAAGACUAGAUGGGGUAUCCUACAUAGCGGGUGCGACCCACGACGAAUGGUUCAUCAAGUCUUCAAAAAAGAAUAUAUACGAUSGCAUGGCAUAUACUAACGUAUGCGAUCAUACCAGCACUAAUACACCACAUCCCAUCAGAACUCCGCAGUUAAGCGUGCUUGGGCGAAUAUAGUACUAGGAUGGGUGACCUCCCGGGAAGUCCUCGUGUGGCAUCCCUCUUU